ACGCUCGACACCUACGGGAGACAGCAGUGGGGAAUAUUGCACAAUGGGGGAAACCCUGAUGCAGCAACGCCGCGUGAAGGAAGACGGUUUUCGGAUUGUAAACUUCUGUUCUUAGUGAAGAUAGUGACGGUAGCUAAGGAGCAAGCCACGGCUAACUACGUGCCAGUAGCCGCGGUAAUCUGAGCGGGCUGGCAAGGC
rnacentral:rRNA from 1 species